UUAGUGAAUAUUUUGAUAAGCGCACCAGAAGAGGAAGUUCUGGUCUCAGCAUCCUGGCAGCUUUCAGUUUGUCACCUGCUGCCGAGAUCAACUCAAAACCUUUCCGCGAUCGACCUAUUGAUAACCCCUGGUAUAGCACAUUUCAGCAGCAAGGCAUUUCAAAGUGCUUAACAUCAUAUCAAACACAGAAACACAAAGUCAUCAAGUAGGGGGUUCUUGCUUUUGCAUCCAUAAAAGGUUUACCUGUUACACUCCUACUGUGUUAUAUGGAACAAAAUACCUAUUGGUAUUUUUAUUCCCAGUCACGCUCACAAUCACACAGCUUAAAAUGAUGUUAACAGCCUUUCAACGGCCUUCUGGCACAAGGCUCCGUACACCUCUUCCAUGGAAUUUCGAGCAGGGACUCUGUCGUCCCUCACGGAUUUUUUUUGCAAUUAUAUGGUACCUGUUAAUGUCUAGAAUUUACAAGCAAUUUUUUUCUGUUACACGCAAUAAUCCUCAGUCACUCGCCGUUUUUCUUCCGGCACGAGGCUCUGUACACCUCUUUCACGGUGUAAUAUUGUCAGCAGUCUGGCUGGUUAUCUGUCCCACUCACACAAUCAUUUGUCGCACAAUUUGUGGAACAUGCAGCAAUUAUAAUCUGUGCUGCCUUUUGGUUUUAGACCCAUAGCCUCCAGAUGGCGCUGCUGCGCUGUAACAUGAUGAUCCAUUAGGUUGUCCUGCUGCUCUAAACUGGCAUUGCUGAGGAUAUUUGACAUCUAUGUUAUUAUUAUUUUUUUAAUGUUCCAAAUAUUUGACCAGUCAUGAUUUUUGCCGUAUCUAUCUAUCCUCGGCAUAUUGUGCAUAUUUUGGACUUUUAACAAGUUGCUGAGCUCAGGGCUCCUGCAGCUGUACGCUGUUAGGUAUCGGGGUUUUUGUUCCUUUUGUGGGGUUUUCUUUUCCUUUUUGUUCGUCUGUGGUUCCGUUAUUUAUCCACCAGAUAGCUCCAGAAGCUGCCUCCCUGGCAGGGCGUACCUGUGGUUCAGCGCACCUGUUGGUCAUCAUCUAAUCACCCUGGGGUUUAAGAGGAGCGCACUGACUGCACUUCUUCGCCUGAGUGUUUGCCAGUAAUGGUGUUCCUAGCGACGCUGUGUGAUCUCCUCGUAAAGAUCUCGUUCUGGCCCUCUGGAUAACCCAUCCUCAUGACGCCGUGGUGAAUACCCACUGGUUGCCCGAGUCCCACUUCCAUCUCCUCAGUUGGAUCUCAAGCCGACCCCGGACCUGCCAGUUAGCAGUAGGACCGCUCCUCUGCCUCCCUCUACGCCUGUACCUACCUGUCCAUCCUCCACCGCAGCCUCCACGUAGCUAUCCGGAACCACCUCCAUCGAGCCGUACUCUGGAAUCCAGAUCACUGUCCAGGACCUGCAAAUUAGGAGACUAACCCCGAGCCCACAGCCUACUCUCUCCCUGCAGUCAUUAUUCAACAUCACAAGUAAGACCGUUCCUGUUUACCCGUGUUGCUCACAUUUCCUACAACCUUGAACUCAUCAUUUUAUCUGUUGUCCUUCAGUGCGCCAGCGACUCCGUGAUCCUGCCCCCUGGAUAGACCCUCAUCCAUCUUAUUUUUCAAUAAACAUUAUACUACUGAUUCCUUUACUCCUGUGGUGUUCUGCAUGUGGGUUAAAAAACUAGAUCCAAACAUGACAUACGCACUGUGUACCUUAGAUUUUCCUUUAAGUAAAACAGAAAAGAAGAUUUUUUUACACUUUCUUUAAUUAUCUAACUCUCUUUACUAUUAACAUUUAGGAGAAAAACAAUCUAUUGUGUCAAAACAUCUUGUACGUAGCCAGUCUAUGUGAGUCCAUGGAGCUGCUCACAAAGCCUAAAUGUUAUUGGUCAAUUUACUUUUGUAAAUUUGGCAGCUUGGCGCUUUUUCUGUAAGCUAAAAAUGAACAAGAGGAGUUUGAAUCCUCCCGUAGUUGUAAGAUUGGUUGUUUAGAUCCUGCCAGAGCUUUUUACCGUGUGUGCAGUUCUGGCAGGUCGCCGGUUUAUAAGCUUUUUGUGUGUGUGUGUGUGUGGUUUGGCGAACUGAAGAGCUGACGGUUUCCCGUAUGGACAACUGUUUAACUUGCUACUGGUGGUUCACACUAAUGAUGUAAUGAUGACAAAACCUUCAUCCAAACUCGAUGUUUUAAUACCGUCGAUCUGUAUUCAGCUGUUCUCAGGUCGGCUGCAGACAUUUAUCCUCUUUUACAUUUUUCCAGACUCCAGUUUGGAAAAUGGAAUAAAGUCCAUUCCACCAUCUAAAUGCUCUGUGUAAAGCUGCCUUCUGCAUCUUCCUCCCCACUGACAACUUAACAUUUAUUCCUGAUUAUUUUUCACCAAAUCUCUAUGACCGCAGCGCAUUUAAUAACAAACAAUCAUCAGAUCAGCCAGACCGCAGCACAUGGUAGACCCAAAAUGUUUCCUCCAGGUUAGAGAUGUUUACUGUUUAUUAAGGGACAAAAUGCAACAAACCCACUGAACUGAUUGACAGGAGCCAUCAUAUCAAUUGAACAAAUGCCUGACAUUCAAAGUGUGUAACAGAGGAGACAAACACCCCAUGACCCUCCACCUCAAAAAUGAAUCUGGUGCUGCUGCUGACGGGUGUUGGACAUGGAUUUAAAUGUCCCAACAGUUUAUAAAUGAAAAUGUAAACUAUUCCAAAGUUUAGGGGCACAAAUUGAAAAACUCGAUCACCUCUGAAUUUCAUUUUCUAUCUAAGAUCAUCUUAGACAAACUGGUUGCCUGACCAAAGUACUCUGUACAAUGUGAAUGUUAUAGAAAUCACAGAGGUAUAAUGGGACUUUCAUCACUUUAAAAGUAAACAAUAAAAUCUUGAAGUCAAUCCUAAAACAAACAGGAAGCCAAUGGAGAGAAACCA